rnacentral:rRNA from 1 species
ACUGAACGCUGGCGGUAGGCCUAACACAUGCACGUCGAACGGCAGCUCAGUCAGAGCUUGCUCUUCCGGGUGGCGGCUGGCGGACGGGCGCCGAAUCCAUCGCACUCUACUUUUUCUUGGGGGAUACCGACGGGCAACUUACUCUAAUACAGCAUACUACCUUCGGGUGGAAGCAGGGGCUCUUCGCCCCUUGCACGAGUCGUUGAGCCGGCGUCGGAUUAGCUAGUUGGCGGGGUAAAGGCCCACCAAGGCGACGAUCCGUCGCUGCUCUGAGAGGAGGAUCAGCCACACUGGAACGGGGACACGGUCCGGACUCCUACGGGAGGCUGCAGUGGGGAAUAUUGGACAAUGGGCGCAAGCCUGAUCCAGCCAUACCGCGUGGGGGAAGAAGGCCUUCGGGUUGUAAAGCCCUUUUAUUGGGAAAGAAAAGCAGCAGGCUAAUACCCCGCUGUUCUGACGGUACCCAAAGAAUAAGCAGCGGCUAACUUCGUG